GACGAACGCUGGCGGCGUGCUUAACACAUGCAAGUCGAACGGAAAGGCCCUGCUUUUGUGGGGUGCUCGAGUGGCGAACGGGUGAGUAAAACGUGAGUAACCUGCCCUUGACUUUGGGAUAACUUCAGGAAACUGGGGCUAAUACCGGAUAGGAGCUCCUGCUGCAUGGUGGGGGUUGGAAAGUUUCGGCGGUUGGGGAUGGACUCGCGGCUGAUCAGCUUGUUGGUGGGGUAGUGGCUUACCAAGGCUUUGACGGGUAGCCGGCCUGAGAGGGUGACCGGCCACAUUGGGACUGCGAUACGGCCCAGACUCCUACGGGAGGCAGCAGUGGGGAAUAUUGCACAAUGGGCGGAAGCCUGAUGCAGCAACGCCGCGUGCGGGAUGACGGCCUUCGGGUGGUAAACCGCUUUCGCCUGUGACGAAGCGUGAGUGACGGUAAUGGGUAAAGAAGCACCGGCUAACUACGUG
rnacentral:rRNA from 1 species